UACGUAGGUGGCGAGCGUUGUCCGGAUUUACUGGGCGUAAAGAGCGCGCAGGCGGUCGUUCAAGUCGCGUGUGAAAGCCCCCGGCUCAACUGGGGAGGGUCACGCGAUACUGAUCGACUCGAAGGCAGGAGAGGGUAGUGGAAUUCCCGGUGUAGUGGUGAAAUGCGUAGAUAUCGGGAGGAACACCAGCGGCGAAGGCGACUAACUGGUCAGAUACUGACGCUGAGGCACGAAAGCGUGGGGAGCAAACAGG
rnacentral:rRNA from 1 species